rnacentral:rRNA from 1 species
GACAGAGGGUGCAAACGUUGUUCGGAAUUACUGGGCGUAAAGCGCGUGUAGGCGGCUAAGUAAGUCGGGCGUGAAAUCCCACGGCUCAACCGUGGAAGUGCACUCGAAACUGCAUAGCUAGAGUCCUGGAGAGGAAGGUGGAAUGCUUGGUGUAGAGGUGAAAUUCGUAGAUAUCAAGCGGAACACCGGUGGCGAAGGCGGCCUUCUGGACUGUGACUGACGCUGAGACGCGAAAGCGUGGGGAGCAAACAGG